rnacentral:rRNA from 1 species
AUCCCUGCCCUUAGUUGCUGCAGUUACUCUCAGGAGUAGCUGGGCUAACUAAGGGGACCCGCCACUGCUGAAGUGGAGGAAGGAGGGGGCCACGGCAGGUCAGUAUGCCCCGAAACCCUGGGGCUACACGCGGGCUGCAAUGAUAGAGACAACGGGUUCCGAACUCGAAAGAGGGAGGCAAUCCUUAAACUCUAUCUCAGUUAUGACUUGAGGGCUGCAACUCGCCCUCAUGAAGCUGGAAUCCGUAGUAACUCGCGUUUCAACAGAACGCGGUGAAUAC